rnacentral:rRNA from 1 species
AGCGAACGCUGGCGGCAGGCCUAACACAUGCAAGUCGAACGGACCCUUCGGGGUUAGUGGCGGACGGGUGAGUAACACGUGGGAACGUGCCCUACGGUUCGGAAUAGCUCCUGGAAACGGGAGGUAAUGCAGACUGUGCCAUUCGGGGGAAAGUUUUAUCGGCUUUAGAGCGGCCCGCGUCAGAUUAGCUAGUUGGUGAGGUAAUGGCACACCAAGGCGACGAUCAGUAGCUGGUCUGAGAGGAUGACCAGCCACAUUGGGCAUGAGACACGGCCCAAACUCCUACGGGGGGCAGCAGUGGGGAAUCUUGCGCAAUGGGCGAAAGCCUGACGCAGCCAUGCCGCGUGGAAGAUGAAGGUCUUAGGAUUGUAAAAUCCUUUCACCGGUAAAGAAAGUGACUGUAGCCGGAGAAGAAGCCCCGGCUAACUUCGUGCCAGCCGCCGCCGUAACAC